rnacentral:rRNA from 1 species
CAGCCGCCGCGGUAAGACAGAGGAUGCAAGCGUUAUCCGGAAUGAUUGGGCGUAAAGCGUCUGUAGGUGGCUUUUCAAGUCCGCCGUCAAAUCCCAGGGCUCAACCCUGGACAGGCGGUGGAAACUACCAAGCUGGAGUACGGUAGGGGCAGAGGGAAUUUCCCGUGUAGCGGUGAAAUGCGUAGAGAUGUGGAGGAACACCAGUGGCGAAGGCGACUCUCUGGUCUGUAACUGACGCUGAGGAGCGAAAGCGUGGGGAGCGAACAGGAUUAGAUACCCCCGUAGUCCCUGUCUCUUAUAC